rnacentral:rRNA from 1 species
UCAAGUACCGUGAGGGAAAGUUGCAAAGAACUUUGAAAAGAGAGUUAAAGAGUGCCUGAAAUUGCUGAAAGGGAAGCGAAGGAAAGCAGUGUCUGGCGGUUUCGCUUCUCCGGGAUACCUUCGGGUUCUCGGUCUGCGUUUCCGCCGUGGCCAGCGCCGGGUCUUUUCGCGGGAAGCUUCGCCUCGGGAGGUAGCGUUUCAUUCUUUUUGGUGAACGUGAAUACCGUGGCGUUUUGUCGCGAGAGGGGCCGCGCGCUGACGAAAUGUUUUUCUUUACCCCGUCUUGAAACACGGACCAAGGAGUCUAACAUGCCCGCGAGUACAGGGGUUUUUUAAACCCCCGUGCGCAGUGAAAGUGAAUGCAGGUGGGAAGCUUCGGCGGCACCAUCGACCGACCAUGCUCCUUCGGGAGCGAGGUUUGAGUGUGAGCGUGCAUGUUGGGACCCGAAAGAUGGUGAAC